GAUGAACGCUGGCGGCGUGCCUAAUACAUGCAAGUCGAGCGAACGGACGAGAAGCUUGCUUCUCUGAUGUUAGCGGCGGACGGGUGAGUAACACGUGGAUAACCUACCUAUAAGACUGGGAUAACUUCGGGAAACCGGAUCUAAUACCGGAUGAUAUUUUGAACCGCAUGGUUCAAAAGUGAAAGACGGUCUUGCUGUCACUUAUAGAUGGAUCCGCGCUGCAUUAGCUAGUUGGUAAGGUAACGGCUUACCAAGGCAACGAUGCAUAGCCGACCUGAGAGGGUGAUCGGCCACACUGGAACUGAGACACGGUCCAGACUCCUACGGGAGGCAGCAGUAGGGAAUCUUCCGCAAUGGGCGAAAGCCUGACGGAGCAGCGCCGCGUGAGUGAUGAAGGUCUUCGGAUCGUAAAACUCUGUUAUUAGGGAAGAACAUAUGUGUAAGUAACUGUGCACAUCUUGACGGUACCUAAUCAGAAAGCCACGGCUAACUACGUG
rnacentral:rRNA from 1 species